GGCAUAUCUAAAAACAGCUUCUGGUCUGUGAAUUUGUGAGACAGUCUAUGGAGCAUGCUUCUGCCUUACAGGAUGCUCAUAAGAAAUCAGUGUUGUACUCUUGCACAUGCGCAAGUGUACAGCACUGACAUGACAACACGGUUCCGCCAGGCCACCACACGCAAAGACCCAUAAAAGUGACAGAGCUGCUUCAAAUACAGCUUUACCUAUUUUUCCAGAUAAUGAAACACCAGUGUGAACUGUUUUGAAUUAAAAGUGCAUUUUAGAUUGUAGACCAAAAUAGCUCAAAACAUAGCGAAGUCUAGGAAAAGGUUUCCAAUUACAGCUUAAAAUGUAAAACUACUUUUCAUAAUUAGUGAAUGAUUAACCCAGGACAGAGAGGAAAAAAAAGAGCACUCAAUGUAUCCUUCCUGGUAAAAUAUUUUAUAAAUAAAUUAGUACAUUUCAAGUUUUAGACCAAAACAGUCCAUUGGAAAUCCAGUUCAGCUAUGCCUUCAGGUGUACUAUAGGACAUUCCUG